rnacentral:rRNA from 1 species
GCUUAACCUGGGAACUGCAUUUGAAACUGGCAGGCUAGAGUCUCGUAGAGGGGGGUAGAAUUCCAGGUGUAGCGGUGAAAUGCGUAGAGAUCUGGAGGAAUACCGGUGGCGAAGGCGGCCCCCUGGACGAAGACUGACGCUCAGGUACGAAAGCGUGGGGAGCAAACAGGAUUAGAUACCCUGGUAGUCCACGCUGUAAACGAUGUCGAUUUGAAGGUUGUGGUCUUGAGCCGUGGCUUUCGGAGCUAACGCGUUAAAUCGACCGCCUGGGGAGUACGGCCGCAAGGUUAAAACUCAAAUGAAUUGACGGGGGCCCACACAAGCGGUGGAGCAUGUGGUUUAAUUCGAUGCAACGCGAAGAACCUUACCUACUCUUGACAUCCAGAGAACUGAGCAGAGAUGCUUAGGUGCCUUCGGGAACUGUGAGACAGGUGCUGCAUGGCUGUCGUCAGCUCGUGUUGUGAAAUGUUGGGUUAAGUCCCGCAACGAGCGCAACCCUUAUCCUUUGUUGCCAGCGAUUCGGUCGGGAACUCAAAGGAGACUGCCGGUGAUAAACCGGAGGAAGGUGGGGAUGACGUCAAGUCAUCAUGGCCCUUACGAGUAGGGCUACACACGUGCUACAAUGGCGCAUACAAAGAGAAGCGAUCUCGCGAGAGUCAGCGGACCUCAUAAAGUGCGUCGUAGUCCGGAUUGGAGUCUGCAACUCGACUCCAUGAAGUCGGAAUCGCUAGUAAUCGUGGAUCAGAAUGCCACGGUGAAUACGUUCUCGGGCCUUGUACACACCGCCCGUCACACCAUGGGAGUGGGUUGCAAAAGAAGUAGGUAGCUUAACCUUAGGGAGGGCGUUUACCACUUUGUGAUUCAUGACUGGGGUGAAGUCGUAACAAGGUAACC